rnacentral:rRNA from 1 species
UACGGAGGGGGCUAGCGUUGUUCGGAAUUACUGGGCGUAAAGCGCGUGUAGGCGGUUGUCCAAGUUGGAUGUGAAAGCCUUGAGCUCAACUCAAGAAAUGCAUUCAGGACUGGAUGACUAGAGGACCGGAGAGGAUAGUGGAAUUCCCAGUGUAGUGGUGAAAUACGUAGAGAUUGGGAAGAACACCAGUGGCGAAGGCGGCUAUCUGGACGGUUUCUGACGCUAAGACGCGAAAGCGUGGGGAGCAAACAGG